rnacentral:misc_RNA from 1 species
UUUCCGUAGGUGAACCUGCGGAAGGAUCAUUACUGAAUAACCGAACUGCGAGCGCUGUCGCUGCCCCGAAAGCUCGUGCACCCGCGACUGGCCUCACAGACAUCCAUCUCACCCCUAUGUGCAACACCUCUUGGGUCCCGCUUUUGCGUGUUCGUAGGCGGGCUUACGCCUUCACACAAACUGGGUCUGCAGUGUAGAAUGUAUUUUUUGUUUUUACGAUAACGCAAUCGAUACAACCUGCAAUAAAGGACCUCGUGGCUCUCGCAUCUAUGAAGAACC